GGUCCUUUUGUAAGCUGAUACAAUAUGCUCAACUGACAGUUUCCGGAAGCUAGGAUCUAAAGCAACCACACGGAAUCCUAAGCCAAAUCCAAUACCCCAACACCUCCUUCUCACAUGAUCCCUACAUGCUCUUUCAAGAUCUUGCAAAAAGCUCUGAGCCCAAUAUGCCACAUCAUGAGUGCACACAUAUCUAUAGUGCUUCUCAUGCCGCAUCUGCUUCUCUGCCUCAGAGACAAUUAAAGCAGAAUCCAUAGCUUCAGAAACAGCAUCAAUAUUCCAUGGAUUGACCCUUAUUGCACCACUGAGAGAUGGAGAGCAACCAAUAAACUCAGAAACCACCAACAUGCUCUCCUUUGGUGCAGUGGGGUUCAAGCCCAAGGUAGCAUCCAGCUUCUCCGUUCCUUGCCGGCAUAUAACAUAUUCAUAAGGUAUUAGAUUCAUUCCGUCCCUUACUGCAGUAACAAGACAGCACUCCGCGAUAGCAUAGUAAGCAAUACGCUCGUAGAACUGAAGAGGCUUAUCAACCAGGAUAACUGGUUCAUAUCCAGUCCUUCCAAAUUUCUGAUUUAUUCUCUUUACAGUUGCAUAAGUUUCAGCCUGGACUUCCUGCACAUCUUUCCCUCGGCCUCUGGCAGGAUUUGCAAUUUGAACCAACACCAAUUUACCCCUCUGAUCUGGAUGCUGAGAGAGCAGGAGCUCAAAGGCCAAAAGCUUCAAGCUUAUUCCUUUGAAUAUAUCCAUGUCAUCAACUCCAAGUAACACUGUCUGACCGCGGAAUUUAUCUCGCAGCUCAGCAACCCUGGUCUCUGUCUCGGGAAGGUCCAGCACUGAUUGAAGUUGAACCAUAUGUAUUCCAACUGGCAGAAUCUUAAUGCUAACAGUGCGGCCAUAGUACUCUAAUCCUAUAUAACCUCGUUUAGAUUGAUAUGAAAUGCCAAGCAUUCUACUACAACAAGAAAGGAAAUGUCUAGCAUAAUCAAAGGUAUGAAAGCCUAUCAAGUCAGAGUUCAACAGUGCGCGUAGAAUCUCAUCUCUUACUGGUAGAGUUCGGUAUAUCUCCGACGAUGGAAAUGGGCUAUGGAGGAAGAAACCAAGCUUCACUCUGUUAAACCUCUUUCUCAAGAAUGUUGGUAACACCAUCAAAUGGUAAUCAUGAACCCAGACAAAAUCAUCAUCAGGAUUAAUGACCUCCAUUACUUUGUCUGCAAAGAUUUUAUUCACCGAGACAUAAGCUUGCCACAGCGAACGAUCAAACCGGCCACCAAGAUCUGGAGAUAGCGGAAGCAUGUAGUGAAAUAAAGGCCAUAAAUGCUGUUUACAGAAACCAUGAUAGAAUUUACUGAACAACUCAGGUGGUAUAAAAGCUGGUACACAUUUGAACGUUUCGAGCAAAGUUUGAGCCACAUCAUCUUGUUGACUCGGAUCAAUUUCUUCUUUAAGGCUGCCUACAUAAAUCACUUCUACAUCUUCUCCAAGACCA
rnacentral:misc_RNA from 1 species